UACGGAGGGUGCAAGCGUUAUCCGGAUUCACUGGGUUUAAAGGGUGCGUAGGUGGGUCUGUAAGUCAGUGGUGAAAUCUCCAAGCUUAACUUGGAACUGGCCGUUGAUACUAUAGAUCUUGAAUGCUGUGGUAAGGUGAGCGGAAUAUGUCAUGUAGCGGUGAAAUGCUUAGAGUAUGACAUAGAACACCAAUUGCGAAG
rnacentral:rRNA from 1 species